rnacentral:lncRNA from 10 species
CAGGCAUGAGCCACCAUGCCCCGCCAAGACAACCUUUAUUAUAUGGGAAAUUUUUGUCGUAACUAUACUCCCGGUGUGCUAUGUCGUAGUAUAUUUAUGAGGAUAUGAAAACCAUGGUUACAUAGAGAUGCUCUGGAGAAACGGUGUCACUAGAAACAGGUACCAUACUCCAUUCCUGCACUUUAAAGUUUCACAUUCGUUAUGCAGUCAGCUGGGCUUUGCUGCAUCGUACUGCAGUUGGAAGGUUUUUUUGUUUUGUUUUGUUUUUUCAAGUGAAAACCAAGGCACAGAGAAACUGAAUGACUUAUGUGGAGGCAAAGCAUUGGUAGACAUCAAGAGAGGCUGUUAUAUUCUUGACGUCAAUGCUGACACAAGUCUCGUGGUGGAGUAGACACUACGUACAAUAGGAAGGAGUGGGAAGGGCCAGGAGGCAGCAUGGAAAAGCCCUGAGGAUGAGGCCUUGUUUUGUUCAUCUUGUAGCUCCUGGAACACCUUGGUAAUCUGUGUGUGUUAGAGCCCAUUGACUUUCACUCUGUGUCUAGAGCACAGAUUUGCCUGGAGAAACCUGGGUUCAAGCCCUGGAUCUCCUGCUCCCUGGCUGUCUGAUACUGGCCAAAUCAGUAAAUAUGCAGAUGGUCUGGUUUCCUCACCUCCAAAAUGAAGGUGUGAAUACUCUACCACUCCUAAUGCUUAAUAGCAUUCUGCAAAACAUUUAGAAGUAAUAGUGUUCUAGAAUACCACAGGAUGCUAAGGGUGUAGCUUCUGGGAAAACUGAGGCACAAGAAGAUUAAAUGAUUUUUCCCCAAGGUUUAGAGACAAUAACUGAAAGAGGUAAAACUAAAACCCAAGUCUCCCAACUUCCACUAUUAGUACUAAUACUAUUACUACUUUCUACUUCAAAGGAUUGUGGUAAGACAAAAUUUAGAGUGCUUGCUUCGGCAGCACAUACACUAAAAUUGGAAUAAAUGAAAGAUUAGCAUGGCCCCCAUGCAAGGAUAACAUGCAAAUUCAUGAAGUGAUUUAAAUUUAAAACAAUUUUUUAAAUUAAAAUAUUGGCUGGGCUCGGUGGCUCAUGCCUAUAAUCCCAGCACUUUGGGAGGCCGAGGCAGGCAGAACACUUGAGGUCAGGAGUUUGAGAUCAGCCUGGCCAACAUGGUGAAACCCCGUCUCUACUAAAAAUACAAAAAAUAGAUGGGCAUGGUGGCUCAUGCCUGUAAUCCCAGCACUUUGGGAGGCUGAGGCUGGCAGAUCACUGGAGGUCAGGCCAGGAUCGCACCAUUGCACUCCAGCCUGGGAAACAAGAGUGAAACUCCAU